rnacentral:rRNA from 1 species
GGUUAAGCGACUAAGCGUACACGGUGGAUGCCCUGGCAGUCAGAGGCGAUGAAGGACGUGCUAAUCUGCGAUAAGCGCCGGUAAGGUGAUAUGAACCGUUAUAACCGGCGAUUUCCGAAUGGGGAAACCCAGUGUGACUCGUCACACUAUCAUUAACUGAAUCCAUAGGUUAAUGAGGCGAACCGGGGGAACUGAAACAUCUAAGUACCCCGAGGAAAAGAAAUCAACCGAGAUUCCCCCAGUAGCGGCGAGCGAACGGGGAGGAGCCCAGAGCCUGAAUCAGCAUGUGUGUUAGUGGAAGCGUCUGGAAAGGCGCGCGAUACAGGGUGACAGCCCCGUACACAAAAGCGCAUGUGCUGUGAGCUCGAUGAGUAGGGCGGGACACGUGGUAUCCUGUCUGAAUAUGGGGGGACCAUCCUCCAAGGCUAAAUACUCCUGACUGACCGAUAGUGAACCAGUACCGUGAGGGAAAGGCGAAAAGAACCCCGGCGAGGGGAGUGAAAAAGAACCUGAAACCGUGUACGUACAAGCAGUGGGAGCCCCACCACUAAGCCAGUGGUGAACUCCACAUACGCAUCCUUUGCUGAUGGCAAUGGUUAACGGAGCGAAAGCGACGUUCAACCGCAAAACAAGCAGAGGGGGCUUAGUGGUGGGGUGACUGCGUACCUUUUGUAUAAUGGGUCAGCGACUUAUAUUCUGUAGCAAGGUUAACCGUAUAGGGGAGCCGCAGGGAAACCGAGUCUUAACCGGGCGUUAAGUUGCAGGGUAUAGACCCGAAACCCGGUGAUCUAGCCAUGGGCAGGUUGAAGGUUGGGUAACACUAACUGGAGGACCGAACCGACUAAUGUUGAAAAAUUAGCGGAUGACCUGUGGCUGGGGGUGAAAGGCCAAUCAAACCGGGAGAUAGCUGGUUCUCCCCGAAAGCUAUUUAGGUAGCGCCUCGUGAAUUCAUCUCCGGGGGUAGAGCACUGUUUCGGCUAGGGGGCCAUCCCGGCUUACCAACCCGAUGCAAACUGCGAAUACCGGAGAAUGUUAUCACGGGAGACACACGGCGGGUGCUAACGUCCGUCGUGAAGAGGGAAACAACCCAGACCGCCAGCUAAGGUCCCAAAGUCAUGGUUAAGUGGGAAACGAUGUGGGAAGGCCCAGACAGCCAGGAUGUUGGCUUAGAAGCAGCCAUCAUUUAAAGAAAGCGUAAUAGCUCACUGGUCGAGUCGGCCUGCGCGGAAGAUGUAACGGGGCUAAACCAUGCACCGAAGCUGCGGCAGCGACACUCAGGUGUUGUUGGGUAGGGGAGCGUUCUGUAAGCCUGCGAAGGUGGCCUGUGAGGGUUGCUGGAGGUAUCAGAAGUGCGAAUGCUGACAUAAGUAACGAUAAAGCGGGUGAAAAGCCCGCUCGCCGGAAGACCAAGGGUUCCUGUCCAACGUUAAUCGGGGCAGGGUGAGUCGACCCCUAAGGCGAGGCCGAAAGGCGUAGUCGAUGGGAAACGGGUUAAUAUUCCCGUACUUGGUGUUACUGCGAAGGGGGGACGGAGAAGGCUAUGUUGGCCGGGCGACGGUUGUCCCGGUUUAAGCGUGUAGGUGUGUGUUCCAGGUAAAUCCGGUUCACUUUAACACUGAGGCGUGACGACGAGGCACUACGGUGCUGAAGCAACAAAUGCCCUGCUUCCAGGAAAAGCCUCUAAGCAUCAGGUAACAUCAAAUCGUACCCCCCAAACCGACACAGGUGGUCAGGUAGAGAAUACCAAGGCGCUUGAGAGAACUCGGGUGAAGGAACUAGGCAAAAUGGUGCCGUAACUUCGGGAGAAGGCACGCUGACACGUAGGUGAAGUGAUUUACUCAUGGAGCUGAAGUCAGUCGAAGAUACCAGCUGGCUGCAACUGUUUAUUAAAAACACAGCACUGUGCAAACACGAAAGUGGACGUAUACGGUGUGACGCCUGCCCGGUGCCGGAAGGUUAAUUGAUGGGGUCAGCGCAAGCGAAGCUCCUGAUCGAAGCCCCGGUAAACGGCGGCCGUAACUAUAACGGUCCUAAGGUAGCGAAAUUCCUUGUCGGGUAAGUUCCGACCUGCACGAAUGGCGUAAUGAUGGCCAGGCUGUCUCCACCCGAGACUCAGUGAAAUUGAACUCGCUGUGAAGAUGCAGUGUACCCGCGGCAAGACGGAAAGACCCCGUGAACCUUUAACUAGUAGCUUGACACUGAACAUUGAGCCUUGAGUGUAGGAUAGGUGGGAGGCUUUGAAGUGUGGACGCCAGUCUGCAUGGAGCCGACCUUGAAAUACCACCCUUUAAUGUUUGAUGUUCUAAGUGGACCCGUAAUCCGGGUUGCGGACAGUGUCUGGUGGGUAGUUUGACUGGGGCGGUCUCCUCCUAAAGAGUAACGGAGGAGCACGAAGGUUGGCUAAUCUGUCGGACAUCAGGAGGUUAGUGCAAUGGCAUAAGCCAGCUUGACUGCGAGCGUGACGGCGCGAGCAGGUGCGAAAGCAGGUCAUAGUGAUCGGUGGUUCUGAAUGGAAGGGCCAUCGCUCAACGGAUAAAAGGUACUCCGGGGGAUAACAGGCUGAUACCGCCCAAGAGUUCAUAUCGACGGCGGUGUUUGGCACCUCGAUGUCGGCUCAUCACAUCCUGGGGCUGAAGUAAGGUCCCAAGGGUAUGGCUGUUCGCCAUUUAAAGUGGUACGCGAGAGGGGUUUAGAACGUCGUGAGACCAGUUCGGUCCCUAUCUGCCGUGGGCGCUGGAGAACUGAGGGGGGCUGCUCCUAGUACGAGAGGACCGGAGGGGGACGAUCACUGGUGUUCGGGUUGUCAUGCCAAUGGCAGCCCGGUAGCUAAAUGCGGAAGAGAUAAGUGCUGAAAGCAUCUAAGCACGAAACUUGCCCCGAGAUGAGUUCUCCCUGAGACUUAAAGUCUCCUGAAGGAACGUUGAAGACGACGACGUUGAUAGGCCGGGUGUGUAAGCGCAGCGAUGCGUUGAGCUAACCGGUACUAAUGAACCGUGAGGCUUAACCUU